GCUAUGUGCUAAAGCUAUACUGUUAAAGUUCGCUCGCUAGCUUAAAGCUAACAUAUUUCUGUCCUUUAAUGCGUGUAGGAGCUCAUGUUGUUCGUGACUGAUGGGAGGAUUUUGUUUUCAUUUAUACUUUCGUCAGAGAAUAAACGGAGACUGCCUCCUCCAAAGA